AGAAUUUGAUCUUGGUUCAGAUUGAAUGCUGACGGCGUGGAUGAGGCAUGAGAGUCGAACGAAAGAGUCGCAAGACUUUUUAGUGGCGUAAGGGUUAGUAAUGUAUGAGUGAUCUACCUUUAACCUGGGGAUAACGGCUGGAAACGGCCGCUAAUUCCUGAUGAGGUGUGAAGAUUUGGGUAUUUUUGCAUCAAAGUGGGGGACCGAAAGGCCUUGCGGUUAGAGAGGAGCUCAUAUGAUAUCAGCUAGUUGGUGUGGUAAUGGCACACCAAGGCUAAGACGUCUAGGCGGAUUGAGAGAUUGACCGCCAACACUGGGACUGAGACACUGCCCGGACUCCUACGGGAGGCUGCAGUCGAGAAUCAUUCGCAAUGGGCGAAAGCCUGACGAUGCGACGCCGUGUGAGCGAUGAAGGCCUUAGGGUUGUAAAGCUCUUUCGCCUGGGAACAAGAGAGUUUAGUGAAAAACUGGAUGAUUUGAGGGUACCAGGUAAAGAAGCACCGGCUAACUCCGUGCCAGCAGCUGCGGUAAUACGGAGGGUGCAAGCAUUAAUCGGAUUUAUUGGGCGUAAAGGGCGCGUAGGCGGAAAGACAAGUCAGAUGUGAAAUCCUGCAGCUCAACUGCAGAACGGCAUUUGAAACUCUCUUUCUUGAGGGUAGGCGGAGAAAAUGGAAUUCCACAAGUAGCGGUGAAAUGCGUAGAUAUGUGGAGGAACACCGGUGGCGAAGGCGAUUUUCUAGCUUAGACCUGACGCUGAGGCGCGAAAGCAAGGGGAGCAAACAGGAUUAGAUACCCUGGUAGUCCUUGCCGUAAACGGUGCAUACUUGAUGUAGCCGGGCUCAACCCCGGCUGUGUCGGAGCUAACGCGUUAAGUAUGCCGCCUGGGGAGUACACUCGCAAGGGUGAAACUCAAAAGAAUUGACGGGGGCCCGCACAAGCAGUGGAGCAUGUGGUUUAAUUCGAUACGACGCGAAGAACCUUACCCAGAUUUGAAAUACAGGAGAAGUCUGCAGAGAUGUAGGCGUCCGAAAGGACUGCUGUACAGGUGCUGCAUGGCUGUCGUCAGCUCGUGCCGUGAGGUGUUGGGUUAAGUCCCGCAACGAGCGCAACCCUUAUCAUUAGUUGCCAGCACGUAAAGGUGGGGACUCUAGUGAGACUGCCUGGGUGAACCAGGAGGAAGGUGAGGAUGACGUCAAGUCAGCAUGGCCCUUAUAUCUGGGGCUACACACGUGCUACAAUGGUCGGUACAGAGGGCAGCCAAGCCGCGAGGUGGAGCAAAUCCCAAAAGCCGAUCUCAGUUCAGAUUGUAGACUGCAACUCGACUACAUGAAGGUGGAAUUGCUAGUAAUGGCGUGUCAGCUACAGCGCCGUGAAUACGUUCCCGGGCCUUGUACACACCGCCCGUCACAUCAUGGGAGUUGGUUUUACCCGAAGUCGCUGACUGAACCGCAAGGACAGAGGCGCCGAAGGUGAGGCUGAUGACUGGGAUGAAGUCGUAACAAGGUA
rnacentral:rRNA from 1 species